GGGGCUGUAGCUCAGUUGGGAGAGCGCUUGAAUGGCAUUCAAGAGGUCACGGGUUCAAGUCCCGUCAGCUCCACCA
rnacentral:tRNA from 1 species